UACGUAGGUGGCAAGCGUUGUUCGGAAUUAUUGGGCGUGAAGGGCGCGUAGGCGGCUUGUUAAGUCGGUUGUGAAAGCCCGGGGCUCAACCCCGGAGAGUCGACCGAUACUGGCGAGCUAGAGUACGGAAGAGGUAGCUGGAAUUCUCGGUGUAGCGGUGAAAUGCGUAGAUAUCGAGAGGAACACCUGCGGCGAAGGCGGGUUGCUGGGCCGACACUGACGCUGAGGCGCGAAAGCCAGGGGAGCGAACGGG
rnacentral:rRNA from 1 species